rnacentral:rRNA from 1 species
CGAACGGGUGAGUAACACAUCGGAACGUACCCAGGAGUGGGGGACAACCUCGAGAAAUCGAGGCUAAUACCGCAUACGUCCUGAGGGAGAAAGCGGGGGAUUCGCAAGGACCUCGCGCUCAUGGAUUGGCCGAUGCCGGAUUAGCUAGUUGGUGGGGUAAUAGCCCACCAAGGCUACGAUCCGUAGCUGGUUUGAGAGAACGACCAGCCACACUGGGACUGAGACACGGCCCAG